GUUUUUGUUUCAGGAAUUGACAAAGUGUGGAAUCUAUUCAUCAAUAGAAAUAUUUUGGGGAAGCAUGAUAGCACUUCGCGCACCUUGGACGUUUCAAAUCAUGUUGCAGAUAUAAAUGUAGUGAAAGCGAAGCUUAAAUGUACACGCUGCAAGCCGGUGACGUAUUUGUGAAGCAGCGUACGACUUAUCCGAGGAGUCUCCGAUGAAACCAAGAAAUUAUCCGAAUGUGAAAUAGUCAUUAAGUGCAUUCGUUGGAAGACUCCUGAGGGAAAGAUUUUCUGCUGCAUUUUAGACGGAAUAAAACAUCUU